UACGUAGGGGGCAAGCGUUGUCCGGAAUCAUUGGGCGUAAAGAGCGCGUAGGCGGCCCUGCAAGUCCGCUGUGAAAGUCGGGGGCUCAACCCUCGGAAGCCGGUGGAUACUGUCGAGCUAGAGUACGGAAGAGGCGAGUGGAAUUCCUGGUGUAGCGGUGAAAUGCGCAGAUAUCAGGAGGAACACCAAUUGCGAAGGCAGCUCGCUGGGACGUUACUGACGCUGAGACGCGAAAGCGUGGGGAGCGAACAGG
rnacentral:rRNA from 1 species